rnacentral:rRNA from 1 species
AUAACUAAGGGUUUGAUUCAUGCUCAGUAAGCAUGCGAACUGUCGUGGUUUAUACAUGCGAGGGAUGUUCGAAUUUCAAAAGAAUUCGAAUAUCCCGUACGGUGAGUAUUAAUGCGGGUU